GUCGCAUUAGCUAGUUGGUGAGGUAACGGCUCACCAAGGCAACGAUGCGUAGCCGACCUGAGAGGGUGAUCGGCCACACUGGGACUGAGACACGGCCCAGACUCCUACGGGAGGCAGCAGUAGGGAAUCUUCCGCAAUGGACGAAAGUCUGACGGAGCAACGCCGCGUGAGUGAUGAAGGUUUUCGGAUCGUAAAGCUCUGUUGUUAGGGAAGAACAAGUGCAAGAGUAACUGCUUGCGCCAUGACGGUACCUAACCAGAAAGCCACGGCUAACUACGUGCCAGCAGCCGCGGUAAUACGUAGGUGGCAAGCGUUGUCCGGAAUUAUUGGGCGUAAAGGGCUCGCAGGCGGUUUCUUAAGUCUGAUGUGAAAGCCCCCGGCUCAACCGGGGAGGGUCAUUGGAAACUGGGAAACUUGAGUGCAGAAGAGGAGAGUGGAAUUCCACGUGUAGCGGUGAAAUGCGUAGAGAUGUGGAGGAACACCAGUGGCGAAGGCGACUCUCUGG
rnacentral:rRNA from 1 species